rnacentral:rRNA from 1 species
CAAGUCGAACGGUAGCAGGUCUAGCUUGCUAGAUGCUGACGAGUGGCGGACGGGUGAGUAACGCGUAGGAAUCUACCUUGUAGUGGGGGAUAACUUGGGGAAACCCAAGCUAAUACCGCAUGAGCCCUAAGGGGGAAAGCAGGGGACCGAAAGGCCCUGUGCUAUGAGAUGAGCCUGCGUCGGAUUAGCUAGUUGGUGGGGUAAAGGCCUACCAAGGCGACGAUCCGUAGCUGGUCUGAGAGGACGACCAGCCACACUGGGACUGAGACACGGCCCAGACUCCUACGGGAGGCAGCAGUGGGGAAUAUUGGACAAUGGGCGCAAGCCUGAUCCAGCAAUGCCGCGUGUGUGAAGAAGGCCUGCGGGUUGUAAAGCACUUUCAGUAGGGAGGAAAGCCUCAAUGUUAAUAGUAUUGAGGAUUGACGUUACCUACAGAAGAAGCACCGGCUAACUCUGUGCCAGCAGCCGCGGUAAUACAGAGGGUGCAAGCGUUAAUCGGAAUUACUGGGCGUAAAGGGCGCGUAGGUGGUUAUUUAAGUCAGAUGUGAAAUCCCUGGGCUUAACCUAGGAAUUGCAUUUGAAACUAGAUGGCUAGAGUAUGGUAGAGGGAAGUGGAAUUUCCGGUGUAGCGGUGAAAUGCGUAGAUAUCGGAAGGAACACCAGUGGCGAAGGCGACUUCCUGGACCAUUACUGACACUGAGGCGCGAAAGCGUGGGGAGCGAACAGGAUUAGAUACCCUGGUAGUCCACGCCGUAAACGAUGAUAACUAGAUGUUAGGGGGCUUAGACCUUUUAGUAUCGCAGCAAACGCGUUAAGUUAUCCGCCUGGGGA